CUGUUCUGGCAUCUUCAGUUAAUGCCAACUGAGCACAUCUGAGCUCAGGAGCUAAGCAGAGCCAGGCCUGGUUGUAUGGGAGUCCACCUGAGAUCCCCCAGAUCCUGUGUGUU
ensembl:rRNA 5S_rRNA 5S ribosomal RNA